AGUGGAAUAACUGGGUCAUAUGGUGGUUUUAUUUCUAGUCCUUUGAGGAAUCUCCAUACUGGUUUCCAGAGUAGUUGUACCAAUUUUCAGUCCCUCCGGCAAU
rnacentral:pre_miRNA from 1 species